rnacentral:lncRNA from 1 species
GGUGUAAAAUCCAAAGUCGUCUGCCCCGAAAGGCACGGGUCUUGCAAAGGUGGUCACUUUAUCUGCACUUUAAGUACUCUUUAGGAGAUAAAGGAAGUACUAUAAAAUAUUUAAUUUGGGUCUUGCAAAGGUGGUCGCUUUAUCUGCACUUUAAGUACUCUUUGGGAGAUAAAGGAGGUACUAUAAAAUAUUUAAUUUGGAAAGACGCAUUGACCAUGACAGCUACAGUAAGUCUGCCUGUCAUUCCUCAAAUUUAAGACUCGAGCACAAAGCUACCAGUAAAAGUCAUCCAAUUAUAUCGCUGUGGGAUCUCCUCCAAGAAGUAAUGAGCAUCUAGGAAGGUAAAUUUGUGUGCAAUCCGACUUCCUAACUUUGUAGUCAUUCUCUUACCUCAUUUACUUAAUUAAUGUUAGAGUGUUAUGAUACUUAGUCAAAGAAAGAUUGGGAUCCCACCAACUUGAGAGGGCAAAUCCACUCAGUUAACCUGUUUAGAUAUAAAUUCAUUACAAACAUCAAGUGAAGGUAGAGAACUCGUUAGACAUGAUGACCAAGCAUGUUCAUUUGACGAAACUUCAACUUUCCUUGAGUGCAAUUGUCAUCCAUCCAUCGGGGCAUUGGGAAAACUGGCAUGGAUGAUGAACAUUAUGACUUAGUUACAAAUGUCGAGGCAAGGUAGAUAGUUGCUAAAAUAUGUCUUGAUUUUAAGCCGUUAUGUGAUCAAACCUAAUUGGAUAAGAAAGAAAUCCAAAAUAUCUUUAUGUGAAUGGCGUAUAUACUGGAGAGUUUCUUUUAUUUGGUUGGAUGUAUUCAUGAUUACAUCUAGACCUUCAAUGUAAAAGUUUUGAGAAGAUAUUGCUCAGACGUUGGGUAAGAAAAAGAUACAAGUUCAAUUUGGGAGGUUUGGGCGUGUAGACUUCGGCUCAUUAAACAUUGAUGGAGAAAUUUUUUUGUUGACACUUGCCAAGGGCUUCAGUAGCAAAUACAACGAACUCUUACGGUCAAAUUUUCCGUGGACUUUAAUUGCCUACUUGGGAUUUUCUUAUUGGUUGUACAAAAGAAAGCGCGUGGGUUCAGCAAUUGGUUAGAGAAGAAAAUAAAUUAAAAAGCAAGCUUUUGCUUUCUUGGGUUUCCUUUACUAAAGAAGCCACGUAGGGGGUUCCUUUUGAAAUUGAGCCACUGCACAAAGAACAAAAGAAAGAACGUACGGACGCUCUUGAAUUAGCUAUCUAAAGGGUUUUGCUAUAGGCUUAAACAUGCAGUGAUUUGCACUAUGAGCUUUACAUCUAAUUAAUUUGUUUAUUUGUAAACACUUUUGAGUUUGGUCUUAAUCUAGAUGUGGGAAAUAUCUGAGCGUGUAAGCGAUUAUAACUCAAAUUCUCUUAUUACAGUGAAUUAUUUAUCGCCAGCUCUCCCAUGGGAUAGGUACCAAUAUUCGGAUCAAAUCACAUAAAUAUUUGGUAUCUUUGUUGUUCCCCGUCUAUUUCUUCAAUGCUUUUGCGUUGUUCUAAUAGCGAAAUCUUGUCAAUUUUCACAUUACUUUUACAACACGUCUACUUUUGAGAUGCCUCUUGUCAAGAUCACUUUUUGCCGAAAGUUCCAAGUAAAUGACAAUGUUACUUUAUUGUAUAGCCAAGAAGGCUUAAUCGAUGCCUAGCUAUAACCUUUUCAAAUCGAUGCCUAGGUAUAACCUUUUCAAAAUGUAUCCUGUUGGAAAGAUGCAUUAGCAAUAUGGACAACAUCGCCUUGUUUUACCAUCUCCGCGGGAAGCGUCAAUGCGGUAAUUUGUCAAAGCAGUAAUUUGUGGAAAUACUGAGUCUUGUGUUACGUUAAUGAAGCAAAUGUGUACGAUUUGCACCUUUACCGUUAUUUAGCAUGAAAGUUCUUCAAUUGUGAGUUGGUCUUACUUGAGAUGCAGUUAUAGCUCAUCACAAAAGAAGUCAAUAUGGUCUAGUUAGAUGUAAAUUGAUCCUUCCGUUCGACAUGUGAAUACUGCGAGUGAUAGCGCUUGACGCUGUCAUAUGAGUGCUGUUUCAGCAUCACAACUGGUAAUUGUCAAGUAGAGAGGGUGCUCAAUUGAAGGCAUCUUAGAUUCUUAGCUAGCUUACAUACACGUAUCAAUUCAAUCAUGCGAUGUCCGAAUAGAUUUUUCUCUUGACAUGGAGAUUGAUCAAACAAAAUCCAAGUGCUACACGCGGAAAGGUGCGUAGAACUUGUGAGAUCCGAUUAUGAAAUGUCAGCUGGUGAUGGUAGCUAUUGAGUCUACGACCCGUUUAAUUGAGUUGGUCCAAAUGAGUCAAAAAUACAAUCUUAUGCAGGUUGGCAACUUGACAUUUGUCCUAUACUUGUAAAAUUGUACCGCUACAGAAAUUUCUAAGGUACAAAUUUCGUGUAUCGUCAUCAUCCUUCGGUUGAUAUUUGUUAGUUAAUCUGACAAUUGGUCAAUCAAAAUCCUCUUAGUGUCGGCCGCUUAUUUUACGGCAACAUUGUCGUAGGGAAGAAGAGUCCAGACAUGCCAUCCACUGCGAUGAAGGUGUGAUUCUUCUCGACAGAUGAUGGUGUAAAAUCCAAAGUCGUCUGCCCCGAAAGGCAUGGGUCUUGCAAAGGUGGCCGCUUUAUCUGCACUUAAAGUACUCUUUAGGAGAUAAAGGAAGUACUAUAAAAUAUUUAAUUUGGAAAGACGCAUCGACCAUGACAGCUACAGUAAGUAUGCCUGUCAUUCCUCGAAUGUAAGAGCAAGGGGCAGACACGCACGAGGCCACCACUUUUGACCCGUACACGCUCCAUACAAUUGUUUUUGGAGUGGGCAGAAAUCUCGCACUAACGCCUUUUGUUUUAUAGU